rnacentral:rRNA from 1 species
GUGAACGCUGGCGGUAGGCCUAACACAUGCAAGUCGAACGGCAGCACAGUAAGAGCUUGCUCUUACGGGUGGCGAGUGGCGGACGGGUGAGGAAUACAUCGGAAUCUACUUUUUCGUGGGGGAUAACGUAGGGAAACUUACGCUAAUACCGCAUACGACCUACGGGUGAAAGCAGGGGAUCUUCGGACCUUGCGCGAUUGAAUGAGCCGAUGUCGGAUUAGCUAGUUGGCGGGGUAAAGGCCCACCAAGGCGACGAUCCGUAGCUGGUCUGAGAGGAUGAUCAGCGACACUGGAACUGAGACACGGUCCAGACUCCUACGGGAGGCAGCAGUGGGGAAUAUUGGACCAUGGGCGCAAGCCUGAUCCAGCCAUACCGCGUGGGUGAAGGAGGCCUUCGGGUUGUAAAGCCCUUUUGUUGGGAAAGAAAAGCAGCAGGUUAAUACCCCGCUGUUCUGACGGUACCCAAAGAAUAAGCACCGGCUAACUUCGUG